CUUGAGUCUGUGCUGAAAGACAGUAUAUAAAGAGCACAGCAAGCUUUAUUUUCAUUGUAGCUGACACUAAUUCCAACCAGGUAAGGCCUGCUUACACUCACUGUGACUCUUUGAUCUGGAAAUGCACUCAUUCUCUCUUUCUCUCUGAACGUUUUCUCUUUUCCAACCUCUGGAAGUGUAGCAGCUGUUGUUUGAUGUACAUUUUAUGUUAAGGAUAAAUAUUGAACAUUUAGGAAAAAUGAAACAAUGAAAUGUCCUGACUGUCUGCCUCCUUCCCUCCAGACCUUCAUCAUGUUCAUCAUGAAGACCGAUCUACUCGUCUCUCUUCUGUGUGUCACACUGUGUGUGAGUGCCGCAGCAGUUGUUCCAGUGGAAGAUAUUCUUCAGAAAGAGAAAGCUGAUGUUUCAGUUCCAGCUGCAGCAGUAGCAGAUGUGGAAGAGGAGGAAGCUGAACUUCCAGCCUCAGAAGGAGAAGAUGUGCAAGAAGAGAAAACUGAACUCUCAGUCACAGAGGACACAGCAGAUGUUGCACCAAAGGAUCUACUGAAGGACAACACUCUGCAAAAUGGAAUUCCUCCUCCUCCUUUCAUGCAAGAGAGAGCAUCUUCACAUUGUCCUCAAGGCUGGCAGCCAUACCACAACAGCUGUUACCUGCUGGUCAACCUUACAUAUACCUGGACCAACGCAGAGUUCCUGUGUGAGAGUCCCACAAUUUAUGGGAAUACAAUUUCCUGA
rnacentral:lncRNA from 15 species